GAGUGAAGCGGCAACAGCUCAAAUUUGAAAUCUGGGUCCGAGUUGUAAUUUGCAGAGGGUGCUUUGGCAUUGGCCGGUCUAAGUUCCUUGGAACAGGACAUCGCAGAGGGUGAGAAUCCCGUACGGGCGCCUGCCUGCCGUGUAAAGCCCCUUCGACGAGUCGAGUUGUUUGGGAAUGCAGCUCUAAAUGGGAGGUAAAUUUCUUCUAAAGCUAAAUACCGGCCAGAGACCGAUAGCGCACAAGUAGAGUGAUCGAAAGAUGAAAAGUACUUUGGAAAGAGAGUCAAAUAGCACGUGAAAUUGUUGAAAGGGAAGCGCUUGCAGCCAGACUUGCCCGCAGGCUCACCUAGGCUUUUGCCUGGGGCACUCUUGCGGCAGGCCAGCAUCAGUUUGGGCGGUUGGAUAAGGCCUCUGUCACGUAUCUCCGGUGACCUUAUAGGGGAGGCGAUGCACCAGCCCGGACUGAGGUCCGCGCAUCUGCUAGGAUGCUGGCGUAAUGGCUGUAAGCGGCCCGUCUUGAAACACGGACCAAGGAGUCUAACAUCUAUGCGAGUGUUUGGGUGUCAAGCCCGGGCGCGCAAUGAAAGUGAACGGAGGUGGGAACGGUGCACCAUCGACCGAUCCUGAAGUCUUCGGAUGGAUUUGAGUAAGAGCAUAGCUGUU
rnacentral:rRNA from 1 species